rnacentral:rRNA from 1 species
GUGCAGCAGUCGCGAAAACUCCGCAAUACGCGAAAGCGUGACGGGGCUACCCCGAGUGUCGUCCGCUGAGGACGACUUUUCCACGCUGUAAGGAGGCGUGGGAAUAAGGAGAGGGCAAGUCUGGUGUCAGCCGCCGCGGUAAUACCAGCUCUCCGAGUGGUAGGGACGAUUAUUGGGCUUAAAGCGUUCGUAGCCGGCUCAGCAAGUCUCCCGUUAAAUCCAACGAUUCAAUCGUUGGACUGCGGGAAUUCCAGAAAUACUGCAGAGCUAGGGACCGGGAGACGCAGAAGGUACUCCUGGGGUAGCGGUGAAAUCCUAUAAUCCUAGGGGGACCACCAGUGGCGAAGGCGUUCUGCGAGAACGGGCUCGACGGUGAGGGACGAAAGCCAGGGGCGCAAACGGGAUUAGAUACCCCCGUAGUCC